AUGGAAUUAGGAGGUGUCCUGUUCCAGGUACAGCUGCAGGAGACGGGACCAAGCCUGGUGACACCCUCGCAGAUGCUGUCUCUCACCUGCUCGGUCUCUGGAUUCUCUCUAACCAACUACUAUAUGCACUGGGUCCGACAGGCCACUGGAAAGGGGCUGGAAUGUAUUGGAAUUAUAUGGAGUGGUGGAAGCACAGACUAUAACCCAAGUCUUCAGUCCCGAGUCAGCAUCUCCAGGGACACUUCCAAGAACCAAAUUUACCUAAAAUUGAGCAACUCAGUAACUGAGGACACAGCCGUUUAUUAUUGUGCAAGACACACACAGGGAGCCUAUUAUGAAGAAUUUGGAUACUGGAUUACGGUGUCUCUCACCUGCUCGGUCUCUGGAUUAUCUCUAACUAGCUAUGAUGUAAACUGGGUUCUCCAGGCCCCUGGAAAGGGGCUGGAUUGGAUUGGUACUAUGUGGUCUAAUGGAAACACAUACUAUAACCCAAGUCUUCAGUCCCGACUCAGCAUCUCCAGGGACACCGCCAAGAACCAAGUUUACCUAAAACUGAGCAACUCGGUGACUGAGGACACAGCCGUGUAUUAUUGUCUGAGGUAA